rnacentral:rRNA from 1 species
AGUGAACGCUGGCGGCAUGCCUAACACAUGCAAGUCGAACGAGACCUUCGGGUCUAGUGGCGCACGGGUGCGUAACGCGUGGGAAUCUGCCCUUGGGUGCGGAAUAACAGUUAGAAAUGACUGCUAAUACCGCAUAAUGACUCCGGUCCAAAGAUUUAUCGCCCAGGGAUGAGCCCGCGUCGGAUUAGCUAGUUGGUAGGGUAAAAGCCUACCAAGGCAACGAUCCGUAGCUGGUCUGAGAGGAUGAUCAGCCACACUGGGACUGAGACACGGCCCAGACUCCUACGGGAGGCAGCAGUGGGGAAUAUUGGACAAUGGGCGAAAGCCUGAUCCAGCAAUGCCGCGUGAGUGAUGAAGGCCUUAGGGUUGUAAAGCUCUUUUACCCGGGAUGAUAAUGACAGUACCGGGAGAAUAAGCCCCGGCUAACUCCGUGCCAGCCGCCGCCGUAACAC